AGAGUUUGAUCCUGGCUCAGGACGAACGCUGGCGGCGUGCCUAAUACAUGCAAGUAGAACGCUGAAGGAGGAGCUUGCUUCUCCGGAUGAGUUGCGAACGGGUGAGUAACGCGUAGGUAACCUGCCUGGUAGCGGGGGAUAACUAUUGGAAACGAUAGCUAAUACCGCAUAAUAGUAGAUGUUGCAUGACAUUUGCUUAAAAGGUGCAAAUGCAUCACUACCAGAUGGACCUGCGUUGUAUUAGCUAGUUGGUGGGGUAACGGCUCACCAAGGCGACGAUACAUAGCCGACCUGAGAGGGUGAUCGGCCACACUGGGACUGAGACACGGCCCAGACUCCUACGGGAGGCAGCAGUAGGGAAUCUUCGGCAAUGGACGGAAGUCUGACCGAGCAACGCCGCGUGAGUGAAGAAGGUUUUCGGAUCGUAAAGCUCUGUUGUAAGAGAAGAACGAGUGUGAGAGUGGAAAGUUCACACUGUGACGGUAUCUUACCAGAAAGGGACGGCUAACUACGUGCCAGCAGCCGCGGUAAUAC
rnacentral:rRNA from 1 species